CAUAUAUACACCAUAUAUAUACACCGUGGUGUAUAUAUAUAUAUACACCAUAUUUAUACUAUAUAUAUAUAUACACACCAUAUAUAUAUAUACACCAUAUAUACACCAUAUAUAUACACCAUAUAUAUAUAUAUAUACACCAUAUAUAUACACACCAUAUAUAUACACACCAUAUAUAUACACCAUAUAUAUAUACACACACACCAUAUAUACACCAUAUAUAUAUAUAUACACCAUAUAUAUACACACCAUAUAUAUAUAUACGUCCUCCAACCGAGACCGUCAUGGCGGGCGAAUGCAGGACAGAAGGCCACCCGUCCCCUGAGCGUCACACAUCCCCACCGUUCCUGUCCCGCUCACCCGCAUCCUUCCGCGCUCGUGCCGAGACGAGGCUGCCCGGGACCACCCAGCCCACGGGGCACCCGGGUUUCUUCCUCACGUCUCCUGUGGAAAACACGGUGGGACACAGCGAUGGUAGUCACCAAUUCCAUUUCUACAACUAUUCGGUUAUUUAUUCCACUUCUGCAACUAUUCAGUUAUUUAUUCCAUUUAUACAACUACUUAGUCAUUGGAAGAACUAAAUAUGGAGGGGGAAAAAAACAGAAAAACAGCAGAAAUGUUAGGUAAGGGCAUUACAAUGCUAGGGUCAAGAUGUCCCCCCCCCCGCCAUCAUUCACAUCCACCGGGAACCUCAGAAUCUGCCCUGAUUUGGAAAUGAAAUCUUUGCACAUUGGGAACAUCCUACAACACACCCUGUCUAUGCAGCAAGGGGAGCUGUUUGGGGCGAGGGAUGAAGACCUCCCCGGUGGGGCCUGGUGGUUGACUCCUUGACGUUGAAAUAGGACGAUUCCGAUGCGGGUGGUUCCCAAGAUGAACCCGGAGGGCAAGGAGCCAUUUUCAAGCCAUCUCGGACCCUCCCGUCCAGGUGGGGGUCUGCUGGUGAAUUGUCCUCCCACCAGUUCACGCCCCAGUUGACCCAUCUCUGGUCAUAGUCGGAGAAGCAUGAGCACCAAGUGCGUUCUUGUCGCCCACGCGCCAACGGGAUCAUUUCAGCAGACACCGACAGACUUCAUGGGGACAGCGGGUGGCUAUAGAAUGUCGGAGCAACCAACUGUAGAUCCUGCACACCCGACAUGAUUAAUGGCGGAGGAAGUCUUUGCAGAGACAAAUGGGGUCGUUUCCCCAGAAGACAGGCCAUCUGGCUGCCUUUGGAACCAACAAAAACAAGAAUCGUCCCCGGCGCUCUGUGUCUUGGUCAUCUGGGGCUCCCAUCAUCUUUAGGGGACAUUUGGUCCCGUCCAGAACGUCCAUGAGACGCUUGGUCCAUGAUAUAUCUGGUCUAC
rnacentral:lncRNA from 1 species